rnacentral:tRNA from 1 species
GUAGGCAUAGUUUUAAACAAAACAUUAGAUUGUGAUUCUAAAGACAGAGGUUAAAGUCCCCUUGCCCACC